GAGGCCACCGUCGGGGGAUGAAGAGAGGGAGUGUUCCACGGAGGGUGCGGCGAAAAAAUCCGGAUCGGCAGCGGUGUUACCACAGAACAUUAUAGUUAUCUGCUACAGAUAUAAGAUUGAGAUUAAGAAGAUUGUAAGUCAUGAUUUUUCUGUAUCAGCCAAUCACACGGGCAACUUAAGGAUUUGGAUGUUUUUUAUAUACAUUUUUUAGAAAUCAAAAUUUUUUAGAAAUCAGAAUUUAGAAGAACUAUUUCCGAAUGUUAGCAUCGCUUUAAGAAUAUACUCCUGUAUGGCGGUUACCAACUGUUCGGCAGAAAGAUCGUUUUCGUGUCUUAAAAAAACUAAAACGUAUUUAAGAUCUACUAUUGGUGAAAAUCGGUUAAAUAAUUUGGCUCUCCUGUGCAUUGAAUCAGAAUUAGUGUCGGCAAUUAACUUUCAAGACCUAAUCAAUACAUUCGCUAACCUCAAAAGCCGAACUAAAAUAAUUUAAUGUUUGACUAUUGUAUACAAUUUAAAAUAAUAAAAAAUAAUUUAUCUCAAACAA